GACGAACGCUGGCGGCGCGCUUAACACAUGCAAGUCGAACGGAAAGGCCUGCUUUCCCUUGUGGAUUGCGGGUACUCGAGUGGCGAACGGGUGAGUAACACGUGAGUGAUCUGCCCCCAACUUGGGUAUAAGCCUGGGAAACUGGGUCUAAUUCCCGAUAGGACUGCAGGGUGGUGCCUGUGGUGGAAAACGAUUUUCUAGUGGUUGGGGAUGAGCUCGCGGCCUAUCAGCUUGUUGGUGGGGUAAUGGCCUACCGAGGCGGCGACGGGUAGCCGGCCUGGGAGGGUGGACGGCCACAUUGGGACUGAGAUACGGCCCAGACUCCUACGGGAGGCAGCAGUGGGGAAUAUUGCACAAUGGGCGGAAGCCUGAUGCAGCGACGCCGCGUGGGGGAUGACGGCCUUCGGGUUGUAAACUCCUUUCGACCGCGAGGAAGCCACCUGGUUGGAAGGGUGGUGACGGUAGUGGUAGAAGAAGCACCGGCUAACUACGUG
rnacentral:rRNA from 1 species